rnacentral:rRNA from 1 species
AAUGUUGGACGAUGGGGGAAACCCUCAUCCAGCCAUCCCGUGUGUAUGAUGAAGACCUUCGGGUUGUAAAGUACUUUUGGCAGUGAGGAAAAGGUACCUCCUAGUACGAGGUACUGCUGACGGUAUCUGUAGAAUAAGCACCGUCUUACUACGUACCAGCUGCCGCUGUAAUAGGUAGGGUGCAAGGGUUAAGCGGAAUUAUUUGGCGGAAAGGGUGUGUAGGCAGUUCGGAAAGAAAGAUGUGAAAGCCCAGGGCUCAACCUUGGAACUGCAUUUUUAACUGCCGAGCUAGAGUAUGUCAGAGGGAGGUAGGAUUCCACGUGUAGCAGUGAAAUGCGUAGAUAUGUGGAAGAAUACCGAUGGCGAAGGCGGCCCCCUGGGAUAAUACUGACGCUCAGACACGAAAGCGUGGGGAGCAAACAA